AUGCUGUGGGUUCUCCAGGGUUUGUCACUCCCCAGAGUGUCAACGUUUGAAACAGGACUUGGCUGUCUCACAGUGGGUGGCCGGAGGCAGUGCGGUGCCCAGCAGGCAGCCUUGGUGAGAGCCGUGAGCAGAGAGAGAAAAGCGAGCCUCCCAGGAGAGCUGGGUGGUGGAAAGGGUGAGGGAGGUGGGAGUGAGGUCCGGCAGUCACUCAGGGGUGGAUGGGCCAGCAGAGUUCCUGCAGCAGAGUUAACAGCACAUGAGGGCCAAGCCUGCGUCAGCUGGGUUAUGCUGUUGGUGAUCUCAGGCAGGACUUGGAGGAGUCUGGUACAGCGCCCAUUGGCAUCCCCACUGACGGCUGUUUUUAGACUAGAGUCAGAAAUACACCUUCGCCACAACCACCACACUGCCCAGAGGCUGGACAGAGCGCAGGUCAGCAGCCAGGCCCUGAGGUCUCACACGACAGGAGAAGACCUGUGGUUGGGUCCACUUUGACGAUGGGAUCAGUGCCCCGAGGAGAGGUGCCCUGUUAGGAAUGGGAUACCUCAAAUAGGGAACAGAACCUAAGUGAUUUUUUAAUGAGCUCUCUAAAGCAGUAACAUAUUUGAAAAUGUCUCGAAAGCAUCCAGGGAGGAGAAUCCUUGGAGGUGUGUGUAAGGCACUGUCUGUGCGCACCUCCUUUCUAAAACCACAGACGACAGAGCUCCACCCAGAAGGGAGUCUUCUGGGGAAGAUUAUGCCUCGUGAGCCUGCAUCACUGGGCACCUGGCACAAUAUGAAAGUCGUGGUGAUUGUUUACAAUAUCAUCCCUCUCAGACAGGGCCUCAGAAAUUGUGUCUUUCCAGGAGGCUGGUGUUUGGGGUGGUUUCCAUGGAGGCUGUGUCUGUGAGGUGGACUGAGGAUUUAAGCAAAUCCGCAGAAUCAAAACACAAUAAGGUGACUCUGCAGAAUCAAAACACCAGUCAAAAAUGGCCAUCAUCCACAAACCAUAAACACUGGAGAGGGUGUGAG
rnacentral:lncRNA from 1 species